GCGGGAAACGGGUCUAUUGUAAAUAGUUGGAUUGUGGGUAAAACGGAGUUAAAUGUUCAACCGCUGCAGAGGCUUCUGGGGAAAAUAAAGGGGUGACUGUGUGUUUGGCACUGGAGAAACAGAGAAAGUGAGGGGGGCGCUAAGAUGGCUGGAAAGGUUGGUUAGCGAUGCAGGUCCUUGAGGAAAAGAGGUUCUCGGAUCGAAAGCAUCAUUUUCUUUGUUUGCUGAUGAGUGAUGUUCUAAUAAGACGUUCGUUAUGAACGCUCCCUGCGCGUCCUUCUUCGCCCCAUCCGAACCCAGAGCGCUGCGCGCCGCAAUAUGUUUACAGCUAUACACGGUCUCCUGCUAAUUUCUGUAGGGUCGUGUCCCAUGAGGAUGACCUGGUGAACCUGCCAUCUGUGACAUGUUGGCUUUACGCGCUGUGUCACUCCUCCAUUGCUCGUGUAAAAGGGACAGUCCGCUCUGUCAGAUGUUCCUUUAAAAAAGUGCAUCCCCUCCGCCGCGUGGGCCGGUUCGUGGGAGAUGACGCCCCGUCCACGAGCGCAACUCAACUCGUGAACCACUCAGGACCGGGGGUUUGAGCGCCGCGGCUCGGGGAUCCGGGGUCGUGUGCUCGUUUGCGGGAGCGGAUCCAGAGAGAUGCUCGGCCGACAACAACACCGAGCCCCGAGAGAGAGAGAGCCGCACCGUUAUAUUUGUGCAAUCGUUUCCAAAAUCGUUGCCUUUAAAUAAAAAAAUACUUUAAAAUUAUUUAAAAAAAAAAAAAAUAGCGACCAAUUCAACAAAGGGGUCUAAAUAAGCGCUUUACGAUUUUUUUUUUUUCUCUUUUCUUCGAAUAAAGGUAACAAUGGAUGUGGCGGAUCUGUCGUUCGCUUUGCCUGCGAUUCUUUUCACGCUUCUUGCGAUUGUUUUAGCGAAUACGAUUUUCGGUAAGAAAACCACGAGUGUCCCGCAGUCCGAGGCGCAGAGCGGUGCUCCCGCUGAGAGCGACUGGACCGCGGACGAGCGAUGUGAGCGUGGACGAGAGGCGGACACACCGGCCCUGCCGCCUCCUCGGACCAUAAUAAAGGGGGAAUUUGAGGGAGCGGAGCCCGUCGGCGGGGGGCAGCUGCAGGAGGACGGAGCGGCACCCGCCGAGUCCCCGCCGGGCCCGCAGGUGGAGGACGACGUGGGCGUGAGCACGAGCACGAGGUGCCCGGGACGCCGCCAGGUGUCCGGGGAACCGGAUUAUAACACGGAGCUCCAGUCUAGUUUCACCCCUCAUUCUGUUGGACUCCAGUACAGCAGUUAAGUCUUUUAUAAAAUACGAAAGAAUGAGUGCUCUGUGUGCUGAACACUGUAUAAUAAUAAUAAUCUGUUCAUGUACAUAUCAGACAACCAUCACUCUACCUUUAAAGAUGGUGACAAGGCAAAAUAUUUUUUUUUAAAACAGUAUGUAUGUAUUUGGGAGGUUUUUUUUUUUUUUUUUUAAACAUUAUUUAAAAGAGAAAGAUUUACAUAAGUUUCCAUAAAUUGAAUAACCCAGACUUGGACAUGAACCUGAGUAACUUCUAGGAAUGAUUAUCCAGCCACUAAUUUAUAAUUCCAACUCAGACUUGGACUUGAAAGUUACAGACUCAGUGGUUUGAAUUAAAGUGCUAAGCCGGUCAAAAAUUAUCUAAUUUGUGCUCUUUUCUUUAAUACAUCUUUUCCAGUCAGUGGGCCCUUGUGGUAAAUAGACGGCCUGGAUAUAAUUACUGUGAACAUUAGAAGGAAAAUUACUUCAUUUUUAAAAAAUUGGAUGACAUUUGCACAGAAACAUGGG
ensembl:lncRNA